rnacentral:tRNA from 1 species
UGGGUUGUGGCUCAGUGAUAGAGCGCUUGCCUAGCAUGUGCAAGGCCCUGGGUUCAAUCCUCAGCACCACAU